rnacentral:rRNA from 1 species
CCUACGUGGGGCUGCAGUGGGGAAUAUUGGACAAUGGGCGAAAGCCUGAUCCAGUCAUGCCGCGUGUGUGAAGAAGGCCUUCGGGUUGUAAAGCACUUUCAGUGGGGAAGAAAGCCUUGGGGCUAAUACCCUCGAGGAAGGACAUCACCCACAGAAGAAGCACCGGCUAACUCCGUGCCAGCAGCCGCGGUAAUACGGAGGGUGCGAGCGUUAAUCGGAAUUACUGGGCGUAAAGCGCGCGUAGGCGGUCUGAUAAGCCGGUUGUGAAAGCCCCGGGCUCAACCUGGGAACGGCAUCCGGAACUGUCAGGCUAGAGUGCAGGAGAGGAAGGUAGAAUUCCCGGUGUAGCGGUGAAAUGCGUAGAGAUCGGGAGGAAUACCAGUGGCGAAGGCGGCCUUCUGGACUGACACUGACGCUGAGGUGCGAAAGCGUGGGUAGCAAACAGGAUUAGAUACCCGGGUAGUC